GAUGAAGAACGUAGUGAAAUGCGAUAAGUAAUGCGAAUUGCAGAAUCCGUGAGUCAUCGAAUCUUUGAACGCACAUUGCGCCCCCUGGUAUUCCGGGGGGCAUGCCUGUUCGAGCGUCAUUUCACCACUCAAGCCUCGCUUGGUAUUGGGCAACGCGGUCCGCCGCGUGCCUCAAAUCGACCGGCUGGGUCUUCUGUCCCCUAAGCGUUGUGGAAACUAUUCGCUAAAGGGUGUUCGGGAGGCUACGCCGUAAAACAACCCCAUUUCUAAGGUUGACCUCGGAUCAGGUAGGGAUACCCGCUGAACUUAAGCAUAUCAAUAAGCGGAGGA
rnacentral:misc_RNA from 1 species